rnacentral:rRNA from 1 species
CCUACGGGAGGCAGCAGUAGGGAAUCUUCCACAAUGGGCGAAAGCCUGAUGGAGCAACGCCGCGUGGGUGAAGAAGGUCUUCGGAUCGUAAAACCCUGUUGUUAGAGAAGAAAGUGCGGGAGAGUAACUGUUCACGUGUCGACGGUAUCUAACCAGAAAGCCACGGCUAACAACGUGCCAGCAGCCGCGGUAAUACGUAGGUGGCAAGCGUUCUCCGGAUUUAUGGGGCGUAAAGGGAACGCAGGCGGUCUUUUAAGUCUGAUGUGAAAGCCUUCGGCUUAACCGGAGUAGUGCAUUGGAAUCUUGGAGCCUUGAGUGCAGACGAGGAGAGUGGAACUCCAUGUUUAGCGGU